rnacentral:tRNA from 2 species
GCCCGCCUAGCUCAAUUGGUAGAGCACUUCACUUGUAAUGAAAAGGUUUCCGGUUCAAGUCCGGAGGCGGGCU